AAGAAACAAACUCAUCUACAUCUGAAGGAUCAUCUCGCUGUACAGCAAGGUCACAGAAAGCACAGCAAGAGCAGCGAUAGAUGCGUGAGGAUAGAAAGAGAUGAAGAACUACUCUAAAGGGCAGCUGGGAACUCAAUGGACCCGCCAAAGGCCAGGAGAGAAGGAAACAGAGCGAAUGAAGCCAAGAAUGGAGGAGAGAAUGGCCUACCGGGGGUCGCAUUCAGCCGGAGCAGCGGGGCGGUGAAUGGAGGGGCUGUCGAUUAGAUUUCUCACAGCUCAGGUUUAAGCAGCGAGGCUUCUCCCGUCUUUCGCCAAGAAAACUCACGGAAACAAAACCCCUGAUGUCAUGGGUUCGAUUCCCAGGGAGUGCAGGAACUGAUUCAAAACCAUUCUGCGUUCUGUGAAAGUAUCGCUCACUGAGGUUUUGAGUGAAAUCGGCCCAGCUGAAUACGUCACGUGAGCCGUCCAUCUUGCAAGGUUUUGCAGCCGUUCACUCGGGGAUCCACUAAAGCUAACGGGAACGAAGCCAAGGGUUAAAGUUCAUUUGCGACGAGAGCUUUGCAGAUCCUCCAGAGAAAGCUGCCCUGUCUGAAGGGGUCGACGCCAGGUACCCAAAUGACAGAGGUGAGGACAGUGAGAAUCCAGAGAGAGUGAUAAAAAGCCAAGACGCUGAGUGAUGCAGAAGACGAGGAGGGUGUCGAUGGCGUCUCUGCGAUGAGUUUCUUCCUCCCAUAUUGCCCAGCCCACAGGCAUCAUUACAGGCUUCAUGAAGAUAAUAUUCCUAACACUCAAUACCCCGUGCCAGAAAAAGCCCCUCACGCAAAAUCCAUUAUCCAAACAUCUUAGAUAAUGGGAUUCAACUUCCCCGGCUCGGCUUGCAGCCCUGCAGAGUGGCCGUAAUAGACUUAUAAUCAGUUUUUAUCAUUAGUUCUCCCAGCGCUCGAGCGUCUCUGCUGUGCUACGAUGAUCUGCUCUCGGUGCGAGAUGUAUCGCUAUUCCAGACCAAUCAGUGGUGGGGUCGGAAGUAGGUGGAAAGAAGCAGACCGAAGGCCAAGUGGUAAAGCUGAACAUGUGUUACCAUCUGGUGCGGAGAGCAGAGGUUGAGCUGAGGCCCGGCUGGGGCCAGGAGUCUGUCAUAGUAGCUCUGUGUCAGCUGGAGAGAGACGGAGCACUCAGGACGACCGCAGACAGCCUGACCACUCACCAACAUCUGGACCCCAGCCCAACAGAGUGAGAGACACAGAUGUUAAGCACCAUUCAGACUUACUGAGACUUUGUUUCUACAGCUGGAUGCACUUUAUUGACACGCACCACUGAACCUGCAGAUAGGUCAUUUCUUUUAGAUGCAGGUUCUCCUUCACUCUCUUGUCCCAGUGACUGGCGGAUCACCUGAGGAGGAUUUCAGGACAGGAUCACAGCAGCAGAUAUAGCCUCAAACGUAAUGAUCACAAAGAGAGUGAGAAGAGCAAAAUAGAAAUGGCACACUGCAGUGACUUUGUUGCAGCACAUGACACAUCACAUUGUUGUCACUGUGACCCAGAAGUUGACAGCUCUCAU
ensembl:lncRNA